GAUGAACGCUGGCGGCGUGCUUAACACAUGCAAGUCGAACGAUGAAGCCCAGCUUGCCGGGUGGAUUAGUGGCGAACGGGUGAGUAACACGUGAGUAUCCUGCCCUUAACUCUGGGAUAAGCCUGGGAAACUGGGUCUAAUACCGGAUAGGAGCGUCCACCGCAUGGUGGGUGUUGGAAAGAUUUAUCGGUUUUGGAUGGACUCGCGGCCUAUCAGCUUGUUGGUGAGGUAAUGGCUCACCAAGGCGACGACGGGUAGCCGGCCUGAGAGGGUGACCGGCCACACUGGGACUGAGACACGGCCCAGACUCCUACGGGAGGCAGCAGUGGGGAAUAUUGCACAAUGGGCGCAAGCCUGAUGCAGCGACGCCGCGUGAGGGAUGACGGCCUUCGGGUUGUAAACCUCUUUCAGUAGGGAAGAAGCGAAAGUGACGGUACCUGCAGAAGAAGCACCGGCUAACUACGUG
rnacentral:rRNA from 1 species